CCUACGGGAGGCAGCAGUGAGGAAUAUUGGUCAAUGGCCGUAAGGCUGAACCAUCCAAGUCGCGUGAAGGAAGAAGGAUCUAUGGUUUGUAAACUUCUUUUAUAGGGGAAUAAAGGUAUCCACGUGUGGAUAUUUGCAUGUACCCUAUGAAUAAGCAUCGGCUAACUCCGUGCCAGCAGCCGCGGUAAUACGGAGGAUGCGAGCGUUAUCCGGAUUUAUUGGGUUUAAAGGGUGCGUAGGUUGUUUUUUAAGUCAGCGGUGAAAGUUUGUGGCUCAACCAUAAAAUUGCCGUUGAAACUGGAAGACGUGAGUGUGUUUGAGGUAGGCGGAAUGCGUGGUGUAGCGGUGAAAUGCAUAGAUAUCACGCAGAACUCCGAUUGCGAAGGCAGCUUACUAAGCCAUAACUGACACUGAAGCACGAAAGCGUGGGGAUCAAACAGGAUUAGAUACCCCUGUAGUC
rnacentral:rRNA from 1 species